rnacentral:misc_RNA from 1 species
GAUGAAGAACGUAGCGAAAUGCGAUAAGUAAUGUGAAUUGCAGAAUUCAGUGAAUCAUCGAAACUUUGAACGCACAUUGCGCCCGUCAGUAUUCUGGCGGGCAUGCCUGUUCGAGCGUCAUUACGCCCCUCAAGUCCCCUGUGGACUUGGUGUUGGGGAUCGGCGAGGCUGGUUUUCCAGCACAGCCGUCCCUUAAAUUAAUUGGCGGUCUCGCCGUGGCCCUCCUCUGCGCAGUAGUAAAACACUCGCAACAGGAGCCCGGCGCGGUCCACUGCCGUAAAACCCCCCAACUUUCCAAGGUUGACCUCAGAUCAGGUAGGAAUACCCGCUGAACUUAAGCAUAUCAAUAAGCGGAGGA